ensembl:lncRNA
AAACCCAGGAAGCAUGGCCUAAAUAAGGAACAAAAUACAUGAAAACUAAGAAUACUGGGCCAACGUGGCCCAGGACCAUGACAGGGGAUGGAAGGAGGAAGAGAGGCAAAGAGUGAUUCACAGGCAGAGCCUUGUUUAUUUCUCAGUUUUUUGUUGCCUUAUGGUUCCAAGCACUGUCACCAAUCUUUGCAUUUUGUUGUUAUCUCAUGACACUUGUUUAAUCAGCUACCAUCUCUCCUAUGGACUUUUUAAUGUCUACAGUCUCAGAUCAACACAGCCCUGCCCCCCAGCACUAUCAGCAACAUGAGCAGCAGCAACUCUUCAACAGCAACAUUGUACCCAUCGGCAUGUCUUUAUCCUGUUUUCCUUCUCUCACCCCAACCGGUCGCAGCAGAUGGCCCCGCCCCUCCCUGAGCCUGGUUCUGCCGGAGGUUUCUUCCUGUUAAAAGGGAGUUUUUCCUUCCCACUGUCGCCAAAGUGCUUGCUCAUAGGGGGUCAUUUGAUUGUUGGGUUUUUCUCUGUAUCUAUUAUUGUACGAUCUACUGUACAAUAUAAAGUGCCUUGAUGCGACUGUUGUUGUGAUUUGGCGCUAUAUAAAUAAAAUUGAAUUGAAUUGAAUUGAUGUUCAUGUUCCAAAGACAUGCAGCUUGUGGGAAUAGGUUAAUUGGAUAAUCGAAAUUGUCACUAGGUGUGAAUGUGCGAGUGAAUGUGAGUGUGAAUGGUUGUCUGUCCUGUGUGUUGGCCCUGCAACAGAUUGGUGACCUUUCCAGGGUGUACCCCGCCUCUCGCCCUAUGACAGCUGGGAUAGGCUCCAGCGCCCCCCGCGACCCUGAAAAGGAUAAGCGGAAGCGAAUGGAUGGAUGAAUUGAAUUGAGUUGAAAGUGAGAUGACUUUAGUCUCAUGAACAACAUCCGCUAAUUGUUAUUCAUAGCUAAUCUUAAAAUGACUGUUCAGUACAGAAAUUCACCCAACAAUCAUGUUUUUACCGUCCCGUGGUCAUGUAAAAACAAAUGAGCAAACAAUGCUGUAUGAAAUUUGUCCAACGGUUAGUAUCAUGGUUGCUAGGCAACCUGGGCAGCGUAACGGGGUAGACCGUCCAAUUUCUCAAGCCUCGCACUUCCGGCC